CAAGGGCCUGGAUACCCAACCACAACCCAUGAUUUCAAGAAGCCCUCUAACACAGAGAUGUGGAUCAUGGUCCCAUGCAGACCAGAGGAUUUGUGAAUCUAAAGAAAGAAUCUUUCCUCUUGGAAAACCUUAGGAGGUGAAAACUGGACUAGCAUUUACAGGAUUCCUUUUGGUGAGGCUGGAAAAGGAGUAAGUCUAUAAACAUUUCUAAA
rnacentral:lncRNA from 13 species